UACGAAGGGGGCUAGCGUUGCUCGGAAUCACUGGGCGUAAAGGGUGCGUAGGCGGGUCUUUAAGUCAGGGGUGAAAUCCUGGAGCUCAACUCCAGAACUGCCUUUGAUACUGAGGAUCUUGAGUUCGGGAGAGGUGAGUGGAACUGCGAGUGUAGAGGUGAAAUUCGUAGAUAUCGCAAGAACACCAGUGGCGAAGGCGGCUCACUGGCCCGAUACUGACGCUGAGGCACGAAAGCGUGG
rnacentral:rRNA from 1 species